rnacentral:rRNA from 1 species
AUUGAACGCUGGCGGCAGGCCUAACACAUGCAAGUCGAGCGGAGCGGCGGACGGGUGAGUAAUGCUUAGGAAUCUGCCUGGUAGUGGGGGAUAACGUUCGGAAACGGGCGCUAAUACCGCAUACUAUUAGAUGAGCCUAGGUCGGAUUAGUUUGUUGGUGGGGUAAAGGCCAACCAAGGCGACGAUCCGUAUCUGGUCUGAGAGGAUGAUCAGGCACACUGGAACUGAGACACGGUCCAGACUCCUACGGGAGGCAGCAGUGGGGAAUAUUGGACAAUGGGCGAAAGCCUGAUCCAGCCAUGCCGCGUGUAUGAAGAAGGCCUUCGGGUUGUAAAGUACUUUCAGUCGGGAGGCGUUACCGGCAGAAGAAGCACCGGCUAACUCCGUGCCAGCAGCCGCGGUAAUUC